GAUGAACGCUGGCGGCGUGCCUAAUACAUGCAAGUCGAGCGAACAGACGAGGAGCUUGCUCCUCUGACUUUAGCGGCGGACGGGUGAGUAACACGUGGAUAACCUACCUAUAAGACUGGGAUAACUUCGGGAAACCGGAGCUAAUACCGGAUAAUAUAUUGAACCGCAUGGUUCAAUAGUGAAAGACGGUUUUGCUGUCACUUAUAGAUGGAUCCGCGCCGCAUUAGCUAGUUGGUAAGGUAACGGCUUACCAAGGCGACGAUGCGUAGCCGACCUGAGAGGGUGAUCGGCCACACUGGAACUGAGACACGGUCCAGACUCCUACGGGAGGCAGCAGUAGGGAAUCUUCCGCAAUGGGCGAAAGCCUGACGGAGCAACGCCGCGUGAGUGAUGAAGGUCUUCGGAUCGUAAAACUCUGUUAUUAGGGAAGAACAAAUGUGUAAGUAACUAUGCACGUCUUGACGGUACCUAAUCAGAAAGCCACGGCUAACUACGUG
rnacentral:rRNA from 1 species